UGCCUUCCUAUCGAGAUGUAGAACUUCCUGUUUCUUUCCCAGCAACACUCCUGCCUGCAUGCUGUCCUGCUUCCUGCUGUGAUGAUAAUGGACUGAACCUCUGAAACUGCUGUAGGCAUCUUUAUUAGCUAACCGCGGAUAACUUGGGGCACAAGGUUUACACAGCAAAAGCUGGUGCACGUGAGGAUCUCCAGGGGCAACCAGAUCUUGAGGGCCAGUAUGUGGCGUCUGAGUACACAGGAGCACCGGACCAGCCUCCUCCAGAUGGCAUGGUGGCAAUCCCAGCACUCAGGAAGUUGAUGCAGGAGGAUUGUGAGUUCAAGAUCACCUUGGGCUGUUC